rnacentral:piRNA from 1 species
UGCUUUACAUUUGGUGUACUUUCGGGCGU